AUACGGAGGAUGCAAGCGUUAUCCGGAUUUAUUGGGUUUAAAGGGUGCGCAGGCGGGGAUGUAAGUCAGUGGUGAAAAGCUGCCGCUUAACGGUAGUCUUGCCAAUGAUACUGCAUUUCUUGAGUAUGGAUGAGGUAGGCGGAAUGUGCAGUGUAGCGGUGAAAUGCAUAGAUAUUGCACAGAAGGCCAAUUGCGGAGGCAGCUUACUAAGCCAUAACUGACGCUGAGGCACGAAAGCGUGGGGAGCGAACAGGAUUAGAUACCCUGGUAGUCCACGCUGUAAACGAUGUUCACUUGCUGUUUGCGAUAUAUUGUAAGCGGCGAAGCGAAAGCGUUAAGUGAACCACCUGGGGAGUACGAUCGCAAGGUUGAA
rnacentral:rRNA from 1 species